rnacentral:rRNA from 1 species
UACGUAGGCGGGAAAUUAAGUCAGUAGUGAAAUCCCACAGCUUAACUGUGGAACUGUUAUUGAUACUGGUUUUCUUGAAUAUAGUUGAGGUAGGCGGAAUGUGUAAUGUAGCGGUGAAAUGCUUAGAUAUUACACAGAACACCGAUUGCGAAGGCAGCUUACUAAGCUAUGAUUGACGCUGAGGUACGAAAGCGUGGGGAGCGAACAGGAUUAGAUACCCUGGUAGUC